rnacentral:rRNA from 1 species
UACGGAGGGGGCUAGCGUUGUUCGGAAUUACUGGGCGUAAAGCGUGCGUAGGCGGUUGGCAAAGUCAGCUGUGAAAGCCCCGGGCUUAACCUGGGAAUGGCGGUUGAAACUAGUCGACUUGAAUCUGGCAGAGGGGGGUGGAAUUCCACGUGUAGCAGUGAAAUGCGUAGAGAUGUGGAGGAACACCGAUGGCGAAGGCAGCCCCCUGGGCUGAGAUUGACGCUCAGGCACGAAAGCGUGGGGAGCAAACAGG